ACGCUCGACACCUACGGGAGGCAGCAGUGGGGAAUAUUGCACAAUGGGGGAAACCCUGAUGCAGCGACGCCGCGUGGAGGAAGAAGGUCUUCGGAUUGUAAACUCCUGUUGUUGGGGAAAAGAGGAUGGUACCCAACAAGGAAGUGACGGCUAACUACGUGCCGGCAGCCGCGGUAAUCUGAGCGGGCUGGCAAGGC
rnacentral:rRNA from 1 species